AUUGAACGCUGGCGGCAUGCCUUACACAUGCAAGUCGAACGGUAGAGGGGGCAACCCCUUGAGAGUGGCGAACGGGUGAGUAAUGCAUCGGAACGUGCCCAGUAGUGGGGGAUAGCCCGGCGAAAGCCGGAUUAAUACCGCAUACGACCUACGGGUGAAAGCGGGGGACCUUCGGGCCUCGCGCUAUUGGAGCGGCCGAUGUCAGAUUAGCUAGUUGGUGGGGUAAAGGCCCACCAAGGCGACGAUCUGUAGCUGGUCUGGGAGGACGACCAGCCACACUGGGACUGAGACACGGCCCAGACUCCUACGGGAGGCAGCAGUGGGGAAUUUUGGACAAUGGACGAAAGUCUGAUCCAGCCAUGCCGCGUGCGGGAAGAAGGCCUUCGGGUUGUAAACCGCUUUUGUCAGGGAAGAAAUCUUCUGGGCGAAUAACCUGGGAGGAUGACGGUACCUGAAGAAUAAGCACCGGCUAACUACGUGCCAGCAGCCGCCGUAACAC
rnacentral:rRNA from 1 species